rnacentral:rRNA from 1 species
CCCUUAGAUGUUCUGGGCCGCACGCGCGCUACACUGAUGCAUUCAACGAGCCUAUCCUUGACCGACAGGUCCGGGUAAUCUUUGAAUCUGCAUCGUGACGGGGAUAGAUUAUUGCAAUUAUUAAUCUUCAACGAGGAAUGCCUAGUAGGCGCAAGUCAUCAGCUUGCAUUGAUUACGUCCCUGCCCUUUGUACACACCGCCCGUCGCUCCUACCGAUUGAACGUUCCGAUGAAUACCAUGGAUUGAGAGUCUGAAUGGGUUCGCCUAUUUCUGCUUCUCGAGAAGUGGAGUAAAUCUUAGCGUUUAGAGGAAGGAGAAGUCGUAACA